ensembl:lncRNA
CAACUGUUUCUUGAAGUGCCCUUCUGCGUCAUCACCCCGUGCUCACACGGAGACGCCGUCAUCAUGCAAAGAAUCUGCGCAAAGGAUCAUGGGAGCCCAAAGUGUCCAUCAGUUCCAGCACUUCGGUUUGGAACGACCAUUCAGUACGGUGGCCAUGAUUGUUUUCACUCCAAAUGCCCUUCAGAGGUCGAUAUAUCCCGUUUGGAAUGCACCGAAAGUCGAACAAAUAUUCUAACCAGAAUGCAUUGCUUUGGUGACCCCUGACAAGAAUGGGAGCUAUCCGAAAGAUAGAGAGUUUUGAGUACCAAAGCAAAGAAGACUGCAAAGCCCAGUACCUAAAGAAACCAAUACAAGCACAUCAAGUCCAGGUUUCUGUAGCAACAAAACAUCUAGCGGACAGUGUCAACAAGCUGCACAGAAAGUGCCUGGGUGAUGAAGAGACUUUCAAAGAAUGACACCACCAUUGAGAUGAGCCAGUAUGGUCAACCCAUACAUCAUAGUUAAGUAUGUUGAAACACCACUGGUGGCUACAACAAGAAACCAACCAACCAACACAAACCACCAGGGCAAGCCUUUCUGACAACACUUUUUGCCGGAAAACGGCAGACUUGGCCACAUGGUGAUGGAUAGUAAUGUCUACAAUGGACACGAGUGUUGUCACCGUACGACCACAACAGCUUGAAGUUGUCUAAUUCUCCCUGCUGCACUAAUAGUAGUACGGCUUUCCUCUGUGUAUACCUAUCCUUACAAGUACAAUUUUAGCAGGAUUAUUUGUGUCCCCUUCAAAAAUUGCUGUUGAGAAAUUUUUUGUUUAUUGUCCCCCCC